UGGAUUCUGUUCUUUAUGAAAAUACUUGUGUCUUAACUUCUUACGGAUAAACAAUUGCUUGCAUUUAAACUGAUCAGUUAUUUUUUUAAGUGUGUAUGUGUGUUUACAGAAUAACAGCCCAGUUCUCUAUCAGUGAAACUGAGGCUGACUCAGUCCUCACCUCAACAAAGGAAUGAUUUCCAGGUGAAGGAAUUCUUUCUAAUCCAGUUUAGGAGAGGAAACUAGUGUUUGGAUAGGGCAGAGAAUUUUUAAGUGUAAUGCCAGGCAUAAGAAAUCGUUUUUGUGUACAUUUUUGUUAACUGUUUAACUGCUUAUCACUUCAAAAUAUUGGGUCCAUGAGGACUGCCCAACUCUGAUUAUUUUUACUGCUUGGAUUUGGCAUCUAAGUAUGUUCUGCUGGAAUAUCAUUGAAUUCUUUUUUAAAAGGGAACUUAUUAAAAUCAAAACUAUUCUUGAAAUUGUAUACACACAUACAAUGUCUCGUUUGUAACUGGUAAUUUUUCUUUAUUCUUGAAACAAAGUUGUUUGCAACUGAUAAGAAGCAUACAGCAAACUUGUAUAUCUGGUGGUUUCACCUGGAAAGCUGAAGAGCUUUCUCACAGCUGUAUUUAUGAGCAACCACUCUAGGAUGCUUUUUGCAACCAAACAUUUCUCCCCAACCCAUGUUCUUUUUCCUUGGUUGUUAUGGGUUGAUGAUUUUUGCCACUGCUGGAAAUUGCAUUUAUUUCAUGCUGUAUCCCCUCCUUUCACAGAGACAAGGAAAACAUUGCAGCAGCAUCAGAAAACAGAAACACAAUCCAGUCAUAUACACCAAUGCCAGUCUCUGGAAGCUACAGUGAAAGUCCUGCUCCUUCUGCUGCUUCAAAAAUGAGAGUUGUUACUACUGCCAGCAUAAAGCCCUCUGUCUACCAGCCAGGUAAGGAGCCUUCAAAGUACUGAAAAGAUUCUGAAAAAAAUGCUCAUGCAUUUAUUUUGGAAAAAUAAAAUAUAGAAAGCACACA
rnacentral:lncRNA from 1 species